GGAAAGGUGUCGAAGGAAUAGGCACAUUUAGAGCUGUGGGACUUGAAGGAAUAGAAUGCCCCGUUAGAAUGGGCAGGGACAGUCGAUCAUUGGCUUAAUUUCCUGGGGGACUCUAGUAUCAAAAAUUCCCGGUAUUUCGUCGUGAAAGUGUCACAUUUAGAUUGUUCUUAUUAAAGGAAAGAGCCGAAUAGACAAAGGGUUUACAUGACCGCUCGCUUUGGACAAGAUGCCAUAGUAUAAGAAGAAGGCCUUUGUUUGCAAAGAUGACUUUCCCGCUUUCCUUUGUGAGGGAGGUUUGUGCACAUGAAUUAAUAGUCA
rnacentral:lncRNA from 1 species